UACGUAGGGUGCAAGCGUUAAUCGGAAUUACUGGGCGUAAAGCGUGCGCAGGCGGUUCGGAAAGAGAGGUGUGAAAUCCCAGGGCUUAACCUUGGAACUGCACUUCUAACUACCGGGCUAGAGUACGUCAGAGGGGGGUAGAAUUCCACGUGUAGCAGUGAAAUGCGUAGAGAUGUGGAGGAAUACCGAUGGCGAAGGCAACCCCCUGGGAUGAUACUGACGCUCAUGCACGAAAGCGUGGGGAGCAAACAGG
rnacentral:rRNA from 1 species